UACGUAGGGUGCGAGCGUUAAUCGGAAUUACUGGGCGUAAAGCGUGCGCAGGCGGUUCGUUGUGUCGGCGGGGAAAGCCCCGGGCUCAACCUGGGAAUGGCCGUUGAAACUGGCGAACUGGAGUGUGGCAGAGGGGGGUGGAAUUCCGCGUGUAGCAGUGAAAUGCGCAGAUAUCAGGAGGAACACCGGUGGCGAAGGCGGGUCUCUGGGCCGAUACUGACACUGAGGAGCGAAAGCGUGGGGAGCGAACAGG
rnacentral:rRNA from 1 species